rnacentral:rRNA from 1 species
CGAAGGGGGCAAGCGUUGCUCGGAAUCACUGGGCGUAAAGGGCGCGUAGGCGGACGUUUAAGUCAGGGGUGAAAUCCCGAGGCUCAACCUCGGAAUUGCCUUUGGUACUGGAUGUCUCGAGACCGGAAGAGGUGAGUGGAACUGCGAGUGUAGAGGUGAAAUUCGUAGAUAUUCGCAAGAACACCAGUGGCGAAGGCGGCUCACUGGUCCGGUUCUGACGCUGAGGCGCGAAAGCGUGGGGAGCAAACAGGAUUAGAUACCCUGGUAGUCCACGCCGUAAACGAUGGAUGCUAGCCGUUGGCGAGCUUGCUCGUCAGUGGCGCAGCUAACGCUUUAAGCAUCCCGCCUGGGGAGUACGGUCGCAAGAUUA